rnacentral:lncRNA from 1 species
AAGCUGGGCUUUCUGAUAUUGCAUUGCUGGCCUUGCUGGCCUUGCUGGUCGGUCCAAAUGGGCUGAACUUGGCUCGGUUCGGGGCUAAGAUGUGGCCGAACUGGAUGCGGGGAGGGUUGCUUGAUCGCUGCUGAGCCGGACUUGAGAAGCACCACAAGAGACAAAUUCGGGCUGGCUUCGCUGCUUGGUCCACGAAAUAGCUGAAGCAGCAGCUUAAUCUUCGUCGGAUUUGAUCGAGACAGCAGGAACAAAGCAAAAGAAAAGGCAUCGGGAGCAGGCGUUGCAUGCGUGUGGCGGUGGCAGCGUAAGAGUGGGGGUGAAGCUUCAGUUGGGAUGGAGGCAUGCGGACGUUGCAGCUGCUGGACUCUGGGGAUGAAGAUUUCCAGUCAAAGCUGGGAGGAGGCGGCGGCAAAAGCUGUUUUCACGCGUGAAGGGGAGAGGGAAUUUUUUUUUUUUUAACAGAAACAGAAAUGCAUUACUAAGUAACGUUUAAAGCAGUUACAGCAGUAGUAUCCGCACACAACAAAUCCAAAAGAGCAUACGGGGGUUACUAACCCAAUUUCUAGGAAGACAACCCAAUCGAUAAGCUUUGGCAAGCUAGUCGGCGACCUUGUUCGUAUUUCGAGUAUAAUGUGCUAAAGAGAGGCCCGACAUCUCUGCUAGUUUAAGAGAAAGAAAACGUGGGGCAGCUGGCACGGACGAAAUUGGCAGCGAGGAGAGAGAGAUUGCGGGCAGUCGGUCGUUUGACCGAGCUGAAGGAACAAAAAAAAAAAGGGGGAAGGGAUAAGGAAAGAAAGGGGAUGUCGGCAGCAUGGGGAAGAGGAUAAGUGAGAGAGAUAAU